CUUUCUUUCACCAUCUCUUCUCCCUCUUUCCUCAUCUAUUCCAAAUUCUAACAAUUCCAAUCUUCAUCAUCUUUUCCUUACCAUCACUUAAACCAGAAAAUGAUAGAAACAACAACAAUCUUCAUCUUCAAUAAUUCCAAUUUCAUCCUUAUCCAUCCAGAAAAAUUCAUCAAACCCAAAAUUCUCUCAAAUCCAAUCCUAGCUCUUAUUCUCUCCAAUCUCCUUCACUGUUUUCAAAACAGCAUAAUAAUCACUAUCAACAACUCUUUAAGAUCUCCUGAUUUUCAAAAACACAAACUUGAUAUUAAUCUCAAAAGCAUCUGCUCUGUUGUUGUUGCAAAGUUUCAAAAUAGAAUUUGGUUCUGGAUAGCUGUGAAAAGAUGAAAUCUUGGAUUUGUUAUGAAUAUGGGACACAUAGAAUUUGAUUUUGUUUUUUUGUUUUUUUAAUAUUUAAAGAAAUUGUUGAUGAGGGUGGCGCUGACAGCGGAUAUGUGGUGGUGAGAGAGAGGGAAAUUGUUGUGUUUAGAGAGAGAAAGGAGAAGAGGACAAUGAAAGAGAAAAUGGUAAAAUACCUAAAUUAUCCCUGCCACAUAAGGGGUGUACACAAGUGGUAUAAAAAAAGGUGGUCUACCAAUAUUUAUCCUUUUUCAAUUGCAUGACCAUAUUUAGAAGCUGAAAAAUAUGGUCACACAAUUAAAAUGCGCGUUACCACUAUUUUUCCACAUAGUUAACCAAAUAAAUUUUGAAAAAAAAAAUGUCAACUAUUGCUGAAUUGAAAAAUAAU
rnacentral:lncRNA from 1 species